rnacentral:lncRNA from 1 species
AGACUAAUGAUUGUAACUGUUCGGGCAGGGUGAGGCAAGAGGAACGUACAGUUACAGAAUCCGUGGGCAAAGCAUCUCGGGGCCAGGAGCGAGCCCGAGGGCACUGUGUAGGCCUUGAUCAGUUUAGCAAUUUCUACGAUUCUGACAUCCUCUUUCUGUUCUUUCCGGAGUCAGGCAUCCAAGGUCACCUCAUUAUGGCUCUGUGCGAAGACAGCACCCCAAAGGGGCCAUCGAUUUGGAACAUCUGAUCGGCUUUCUGAGUCAGAUCCACUAGCUCGUAAAAUCCAAUAAAUGUCAAAGAUAUGUCAGGCCCAUUAACCUCUGGAGGUCUAUUAAAAGACUCUGCUUCUGCUAA